rnacentral:ncRNA from 1 species
AAUGUCAAGGGCAAACUCACCGUGAGAUGAGGGCGCAAAGUCAUGGGUCCUGAUUCAGGAUCGCCAGACCGCCGAAG